AGUGCAACAGAAUCCUUUCUGCACACACUUUGCGUUGACACUCGGUGUGCGGAAAUGCUUCUGCUCCACU
rnacentral:pre_miRNA from 11 species